CUAGUUGCCAGCAUCGGUUGGGCACUCUAGAGGGACUGCCGGCGACAAGUCGGAGGAAGGUGGGGGAUGACGUCAAAUCAUCAUGCCCCUUAUGACCUGGGCUACACACGUGCUACAAUGGGCGGUACAAAGGGCUACGAACCCGCGAGGGGGAGCGAAUCCCAAAAAGCCGCUCUCAGUUCGGAUUGCAGGCUGCAACUCGCCUGCAUGAAGCCGGAAUCGCUAGUAAUCGCGGACCAGCAUGCCCGCGGUCGAAUACGUUCCCGGGCCUU
rnacentral:rRNA from 1 species